UUCAACAGCUGUAUGGCAUCAAUGGUAGGUUCCUCCAAACAGCUGUAUGGCAUCAAUGGUAAGUUCCUCCAAACAGCCGAUGCAGAAUCGUACCAGUUCUGUGCUUUUUUCAUCUUGACAGGGUUGGGACUGAACUGAAGGUACUUUCAUCCAUGAUGGACUAGGAACAGGGGGCAAAGUCCAAAUCUAACCUUCAGAAUAGAAGUCUAUGUCCAGCAUGAACAGACACCUGGAGUGGGGAUCCCAGAGCUGCAGGAAUCCUGAUACUGAACAACUCGGACUCUGAAGCACAUGCUGGAUUCUGUGAAGGCAGAGGUGCUGGGCCACAAACUGAGUCAUGGACCCCGAAAUUCCUGACCUGAGGAUGUGCACACUGAGCACUAGUGACACUGAGGGAGGAGUCGGCCCUCACUGUCACUUCUCAUGGAUGACUAGCAUGCCAUUGCCUGAGCUCUUGAGUAGCUCUAAGGCUCCACAGGGCGUCGUGAGGACACUGUGGAGGACAAUGAAGUGGUUGCUCUUCCACCUUCCAACUACAGACAACCACCCAAAUUACCAGCAAGAUCUGCGGGAUCCACAGGGGCCCCCUUGGGAAAGCCUCCCAGUGGGUAGAUGUUGUUGUAUCCCUGCCCAACUUAGACCCCUCUGCACUUUGACAAUGCAGAACGUGACCUGUGCCUCUUUGUGCUCACAGAUAACCCAGAAACCCUGUGUGAGCAGGCUAAGAAAUUAUCGGAAAAGAGCCUUGGGAAAUGAAUGUGCUUCUCUUUCUGACUAGAUCAUCUGAGAAGGAUCAUCUGAGAAGUGUCCAUGGACCCCCUGUCCCAAGACUCAGCAAAAUCCAGUCUGAUGCUCAAACACCAAACGGAACAACCAACUGUACCUAAACCUAGAAGAGAUGGAAGAGGGCAGAAGAGAUUCCUCCAGAACCUGCACUGUGGCUCUCGUACAUCCCAGAAAGCCUCAGAGUUCCAGAAAGGGCUACAGGGAAGUAAUGGAGACUGGACACAUGGUACAGAAAGCUCAGCAAAGGACCCAGCUACAUCUCGUCAGCUGAUUUUGUCAUGGUCACCCAUGGAAGUCAAGAAAGAGAAAACGGUCUGUACACAAAAGCCUGCAGAAGUGUGAAAAACAAAGAACAGGGAAUCCACUGGAAAACUAAACACAGUUACCAUUUCAACUGACCCCAAAUAAAACACUAUAAUGUUCACAUAAACGUACUCGAAUAGGCGUUUGUAUGUUCCUGCCUUACAGGGAGAAAGAGCAGAAAUAAAAUGGAGAAGACGGAAUUGUGGACAUGAAAACCCUGAGGUCUCCAGCCAAGAAACAAAGAGCUGGAGCAUGGCUGGAGCAGACACUUCCCUAGGUCAUCUAGAGGGAGCCUGGCCCCUGACACACCCCAGGAGACAACAGACCCCUGUCAGUGUACAUCGUGUGGUUAUGAGGAGGUGGACAUGUGGUGUGUGCUGUGUGGUGUGAUGAGGGCUGAACCUCUGCCAUUGUGUGGGGUGGAGACGGGCUGUCCAGUGGAUCUGGACACAGUCAGGGGGGAAGCAGCCGAGCCCGAUACCUAGAUCCUUAUAUGUGCUAGGCGUGCUCCUUCCUGUCAACCCCUUACAUACAUCGUCAGUUUAAGGACACCCCUCACCCACACUCACCACAUACUUUUCUAGGGAUCACCCCCGUCUGUUGUCAAAACACAAUGCUAAGUAACAGACCCUGCUAAGAAAUCCCUCCGACUGCAGUGACAGCUGAGAUCUGAUGGCAGGUAUCUGGCGUUGUUGGACACUUCUCCUGUCCACGACACACACCUACUGCUAGGUUCGGGCCUGUGUGGACGCCUCCUGCCCUGACACAUAUGACUCCUCCCCUGACUAGGUAUAAUUCACUGCCGGACACCACACCCGUCCCACCUCACCUGCUCGGCCUGCUGUCAGACCCUGCUGAACAAACCCCCUCACACAACACAUAAAACCUCAAAUGCAUUCCUAAAUAUUGGGCCAUGAAAGAGCCCCCACCUAACCACAUAUUCGCUCUAGGUACCAGGGCCUGCUGAGCAAACCAAUCCCCACACCUCAUAUGAAUACCCAGGCACUGGGCCCUGAAUGAGACUCCCUUAACCCCACUAAAUGCCUGUUAUCUGGUCCUGCUGGAUCAUUGCCGCUCUGCCCUAAAAACACACUGCUUUUAUUUGGGCCCCACAGGAUCCCAUCACACCACAGGAGGUCCAUAUACAGUGGAAGGUAUCAGACCCUCUUCUGCAUCCCACCACACAAGCCGCGUCCUCCAGUGUUAAUUCUCAGGCCCUGAGGCACACUUCAUGACCUGAACUCAUAUAUAAUUUAAGGGUAUCACACCUUCUUGAUAUCCAAACCAUGAUAUCUAACCAUGAUAACUCCUAUUAUGUCAACUUAAGACCCUUUAAACACACACACAUCACCCUGCAGCAGUCUCAAAUCCAUUGCUAGGUAUCAGGCCCUGGUGACACUCCCUAACGCCUCCCACACACUCUGGAGUGUCAGGUACCCCUGGAUAUCAGGCCAACACCGCCACCCUACACUCAUCUGAACAGGCCUGCGCAGGCACUAAUUCACCCCAUCAGCUAACACGUAUUUAUCAGGUGUGGGGCCCUGAUGGAAACCCCCUCCUACUGCUCCCCACUGGUAUUCAUCCCUACACUCCUGCGACCACACCUCUACUUCUAGGUAUCAGGUGCUCUCGUUUGACCUCCUACCCCACAUAAACCACAAGCUAUCUGAUUGUGCUGGAAGCUUCUCCCCCUGUCACCCAAAACUGCCUGCCAAGUGUUUGCCUUGCUGGACACCCUCCCUCUGAGCCUGUCACACCCACGGAGCUAGGCACUGCGUUCUGCUGGACUCUUCCUCCACCACACAGGGCUGUGCAUGAGGCCCUGCUGCUGGUUACUGCGCCAUGCCGUACCCCCACUGUAACGGCCCAGAGAGCGGUGCGGAUCACGUCCACCUGAACACCAGCCUGCCCUCCCACCCGAUACGCUAGGUGUCAGACCACCUUAUCAUACACUGCUGGCCAACAAACACGGCGAUAUUUCACGCCCUGAUAGAAACCAUGUCACCACCGUAUACAAGCUUCUAGGUAGCGGGUCCUAGUGCCGACGCUGUCACCCAAACAAUGCUAGGCAUCAAGACUUACCUAACAUCUACCAUUCUGCUACUACAGACAUUAGUAAGGGUUUAGAUGGAGGAUACGGAAGGAUCAGAAUCAUAUCAGUGCAUACAGGACUUCAGCAAGGUAUCCCACUGUUAUAGCCAAAGACAUGCACACAUACAUGGCUAGGUAGGCAUCAGAUCUUGCCAGAAAUACCCUCUUCUUUAGCGAAUGCCAAGGACACAGGGCAAGGUUUCAGAUCUUCCUAGGUAAAUCCUCCCCUACAGCCAACAUUCUUCCUACCCAUCUAGGUAUCAGGUCCUCCAAAGGAUCCCUGCCUACAGCCAACGCCCUCCAAUGAGGAUUAGAAGUCAGGUCCUUUAAGUGCGUCAAAGACCCCACACAUAAAGAGACACAGAGGACUACGUGUCAUGUGUGUCCUUCUAAAAAAUGUCAUGUUUGUUGGCCACAGGUCCUCGGCAGGACCUCGCUGCUGAAGGUCCUCACACGAGAUGUGCCUUUCUCUGUGUACAUUUCACUUACUCUGAUGUCCUGGGGCCUCAUCCAUGCUCGAGCGUGUGUCAGACUCUUCUGCUCCUGUACUGGGGAAGAACAUUCAUGUGUGUACUGUUGUAUUUUCAUGUCCAUUCCUGCAACACUCGAGUUGGUCCAUCUGAAUCACAUAUAGUGUGGGUGUCAAAUGUCUGACUGCUCUUUUCGGGUUUGCUCAGAUAAUGGGAGACUGGACCACGUGGCAACCCUGUACUUUGUCCUCUCCUUGGUUACCAGAGUCAAGUGCCAAGGGUUUUAAGGCCGUUCUGUGGCAUGUCAGUGACAUCAGCUACCCCUUCCUGGUGGCUGAGGACUGUGGUGCCCUUGGCCCUUGCUGCAGAGAUGCCUGUUGUGGCUCCCCAGGCUCCUCCCUGACCACCAGCCCAUUUUCUCCAUCUAUGUGGGAAUCUCCUGAACUUGAGGUCUCAUCCUCUCUGCCUAAAGCCCACUGGCAACUGCCUCAGUAAUCGGUAGAGUCUUCAGUUAAACACCAGCCUCUGAGUAAGUUUCUAACCCUGUUUAAAUGGGAAUCACAAGGCUGCUGAGUCCACUCAGCAAUGUGUCUGAAGCUCCUGACCAUUGUGAGCACGGUGUACAUCACACACACAGAGGGCAGAGCUAUCUUCACUCCAACAUGGAAAUACUGCGGCCAUGGUUCAAUUCUGUUGUCUUACACUUGGCUCUAAUUUGUCCUGCGGUUCCCACAUUGUUCAGAGCAAAGACAAUUAGUGUUGUCCUGAGGAUGAGUGUGGAAGCCAGGCUGAGUGUCGGGACCCUUCCCCUCCCACACAGCCACCCAGGGACAUCAGCGUGGGGUCCAGUUUCCUUCCCUGUGCUUUGCAGUCCUGGCAGGUUUGUCUGUGUCGAUGCCUGUGUGACUCCAGAAGUCAUGUCACAUGCUCAGAUGGG